AUUGGUUGAAAAUCACCUGGGUCUCUGGUUAUGGGUGAGAAUCAGCUCCUGGAGCCACCAGGGGCCUCAGUUCACAGCCAACUCUCAAUGUGGGGAGGUGAAACCCAGGCCCCUCAGAGC
rnacentral:snoRNA from 1 species